rnacentral:rRNA from 1 species
CCCUUAGAUGUCCUGGGCCGCACGCGCGCUACACUGAUGCAUUCAACGAGUUUUACCUUGGCCGAGAGGCCUGGGCAAUCUUUUAAACCUGCAUCGUGAUAGGGAUAGAUUAUUGCAAUUAUUAAUCUCGAACGAGGAAUUCCUAGUAAACGCAAAUCAUCAAUUUGCAUUGAUUACGUCCCUGCCCUUUGUACACACCGCCCGUCGCACCUACCGAUUGAAUGGUCCGGUGAAGCCUCGGGAUUGUGGCCAGUUCACUUUAUUGGGAGUUGGCUGUGAGAACUUGUCUAAACCUUAUCAUUUAGAGGAAGGUGAAGUCGUAACA